rnacentral:tRNA from 1 species
GCCUGGCUGGCUCGGUCAGUGGAGCAUGUGACUCUUGAUUUUGGGGUCAUGGGUUCAAGUCCCAUGUUGGGUA